rnacentral:rRNA from 1 species
GUCUACGGCCAUGCCACCCUGAACAUGCCCCAUCUCAUCUGAUCUCAGAAACUAAGCAGGGUCGGGCCUGGUUAGUACUUCGAUGGGAGACCAGCUAGGAAUACCAGGCGCGGUAGGCG